CCUACGGGGUGCUGUAGUGGGGAAUAUUGCGCAAUGGGCGUAAGCCUGAACCAGCCAAGUCGCGUGAGGGAUGAAGGUUCUAUGGAUCGUAAACCUCUUUUAUAAGGGAAUAAAGUGUGGGACGUGUCCUAUUUUGUAUGUACCUUAUGAAUAAGGAUCGGCUAACUCCGUGCCAGCAGCCGCGGUAAUACGGAGGAUCCGAGCGUUAUCCGGAUUUAUUGGGUUUAAAGGGUGCGUAGGCGGCCUUUUAAGUCAGCGGUGAAAGUCUGUGGCUCAACCAUAGAAUUGCCGUUGAAACUGGGGGGCUUGAGUAUGUUUGAGGCAGGCGGAAUGCGUGGUGUAGCGGUGAAAUGCUUAGAUAUCACGCAGAACCCCGAUUGCGAAGGCAGCCUGCCAAGCCAUGACUGACGCUGAUGCACGAAAGCGUGGGGAUCAAACAGGAUUAGAUACCCUAGUAGUC
rnacentral:rRNA from 1 species